GAGUUUGAUCAUGGCUCAGGACUAACGCUGGCGGCGUGCCUAACACAUGCAAGUCGAACGAGGUAGCAAUACCUAGUGGCAGACGGGUGAGUAACGCGUAGGUAAUGUGCCCUCCUGCGGGGGAUACCGUUCCGAAAGGGACGUUAAUACCGCAUAACAUACCUUAGGGGCAUCUCUAGGGUAUCAAACUUCCGGGGUAGGGGGAGCAGCCUGCGUUCUAUCAGCUUGUUGGUGAGGUAACGGCUCACCAAGGCGACGACGGAUAACUGGUCUGAGAGGAUGACCAGCCACAUUGGGACUGAGACACGGCCCAAACUCCUACGGGAGGCAGCAGUGGGGAAUAUUGGACAAUGGGCGCAAGCCUGAUCCAGCCAUGCCGCGUGAGUGAUGACGGCCUUAGGGUUGUAAAGCUCUUUCGCACGCGACGAUAAUGACGGUAGCGUGAGAAGAAGCCCCGGCUAACUUCGUGCCAGCCGCCGCAGUAAC
rnacentral:rRNA from 1 species